GACAGAGGCCCCAAGCGUUAGGCGGAAUCACUGGGCUUAAAGCGUGUGUAGGCGGACGCCUAAGUGUCUUGUGAAAUCCCACGGCUCACCCGUGGAACUGCUGGGCAUACUGGGCGUCUUGGGCCAACUAGGGGCAGCCGGAACAAGCGGUGGAGCGGUGAAAUGCGUAGAUAUCGGAAGGAACGUCGGUGGCGAAAGCGGCGCGCUGGACCUCUUCUGACGCUGAGGCGCGAAAGCCAGGGGAGCGAACGGG
rnacentral:rRNA from 1 species